GAUAAACGCUGGCGGCGUGCCUAAUACAUGCAAGUCGAACGGACAUAGCUUGCUAUGUCAGUGGCGAACGGGUGAGUAAUACAUAAGCAACCUGCCUACAGGGACCGGGAUAACACUUGGGAACGAGCGCUAAUACCGGAUAGGCAGGAUCGGGGCAUCCUGAUCCUGUUAAAGUUGAGAGACACAAGUAGAUGGGCUUAUGGCGCAUUAGCUGGUUGGUAGAGGUAACGGCCUACCAAGGCGAUGAUGCGUAGCCGGCCUGAGAGGGUGAACGGCCACAUUGGGACUGAGACACGGCCCAG
rnacentral:rRNA from 1 species